rnacentral:tRNA from 1 species
UCCCGCAUGGUCUAGUGGCUAGGAUAAAACGGCUCUCACCCGUGAGGCCCGGGUUCGAUUCCCGGUGCGGGAA